rnacentral:tRNA from 1 species
GGAGUAGAUGCCAGUGGCAAAUUCCGGGGCCGAGAAAGCGAUUUCACUGGAUACACCCGUAGAAGGCAUAUGACCACAACAGUGGACCGGGGUUCAAUUCCCCGCAUCUCCACCA